rnacentral:rRNA from 1 species
AUUGAACGCUGGCGGCAUGCUUUACACAUGCAAGUCGAACGGUAACAGGGAGCUUGCUCCGCUGACGAGUGGCGAACGGGUGAGUAAUGCGUCGGAACGUGCCGAGUAGUGGGGGAUAACGCAUCGAAAGGUGUGCUAAUACCGCAUACGUACUGAGAUAGAAAGUGGGGGCCCUUCGGGCCUCACGCUAUUCGAGCGGCCGACGUCUGAUUAGCUAGUUGGUAAGGUAAAGGCUCACCAAUGCGACGAUCAGUAGCGGGGGUGAGAGGAUGAUCCGCCACACUGGGACUGAGACACGGCCCAGACUCCUACGGGAGGCAGCAGUGGGGAAUUUUGGACAAUGGGCGCAAGCCUGAUCCAGCCAUGCUGCGUGUCUGAAGAAGGCCUUCGGGUUGUAAAGGACUUUUGUCCGGGAGCAAAUGCCUGGUGUUAAUAGCACUGGGAGCUGAGAGUACCGGAAGAAUAAGCACCGGCUAACUACGUGCCAGCAGCCGCGGUAAGAC